rnacentral:rRNA from 1 species
CCUACGGGUUGCACCAGUGGGGAAUAUUGCACAAUGGGCGCAAGCCUGAUGCAGCCAUGCCGCGUGUAUGAAGAAGGCCUUAGGGUUGUAAAGUACUUUCAGUUGGGAGGAAGGCGUUGAUGCUAAUAUCAUCAACGAUUGACGUUACCAACAGAAGAGGCACCGGCUAACUCCGUGCCAGCAGCCGCGGUAAUACGGAGGGUGCAAGCGUUAAUCGGAAUUACCGGGCGCAAAGCGCACGCAGGCGGUUGAUUAAGUUAGAUGUGAAAUCCCCGGGCUUAACCUGGGAAUGGCAUCUAAGACUGGUCAGCUAGAGUCUUGUAGAGGGGGGUAGAAUUCCAUGUGUAGCGGUGAAAUGCGUAGAGAUCUGGAGGAAUACCGGAGGCGAAGGCGGCCCCCUGGACAAAGACUGACGCUCAGGUGCGAAGGCGUGGGGAGCAAACAGGAUUAGAUACCCCAGUAGUC